ensembl:lncRNA
ACAUUCUACAUUCUUUUUACAGGAUAUACGAGAAAUACUUAGAAAAUCUGGAGGACUAGCAUUAAUAACAUCCUUAGAAAGGGACAGGCACCUAAGCCUCAAGGAGAGACGUCAGAUGGUGCGGUUGUUGGUUUCUCAUUUGAUGGAGAGAUUUGGGGAAAACCCAACAGCUGAGAUCAAAAAGGAGAUGGCUCUGGCGCUAACUUGCCAGUUUCCUUGUCUGAAAAAUAGUGAGGGACAUGGAUAUGAGGCAUGGUAUACACCUGGUCGUUAUCUUCACCCUGCAACAGGGUAUUUAGAAGAAAGACUGCGCAACGUGAGGAAACGGCUUAGAGCCCCACACAGCCAGAGACAGUACAGCCAGCCACAGUCAUCUCAGAAUUCCUCUUCUCGACCAAGUUUUCCACUGCCAGAGUCUGAGUUGUCUUUGACUGACAUUCACACAAUGAUUGAGUGGCUAAAGAACAACCGAAGCCCUCACAGUCAAGUGGAGGAGUUCAUGAAACGUACAGCACCUCAUCGGGCUGCAUGGAUUCGAACUUCUGGAACAAAAACUAUUGAGGAAAUCAAUAGAGAAUAUCCUAGACUUCGUGACAUUCCUGGAAUGAUAUCGCAGGACUUUAAAGUUAUAUUCCCUGACCAGGCGGACCGCCUUUAUGAAUUCUGGGCUCCUGUCAUCACUGACCGGAUUUUACUCUUUGCAAAGAAAGAACCCAAGGCUUCAGAUGUUCUUCCAGAAAAUCUGGAAACACUGGCAAUAGGUGUUCGUGCAGAAAUUGCCUUUAAAACCCUUCCUGCCAUCCUGCCAUCUGCACCAUACCGCACAAAUGGAAAAAUGGUGCGCCCAACAUACACAGAAAUGAAGCAGUCCUUCAUUGACAUUCAACCUGUAAGUAAAAGCAACACUGCAAAAUCAUGUGUUAAAAUUACAGUGCUCUUUGUAGUCAAGUCACCUUUAUUUAUUUUGUAUAAGACACACGUUGUACAUUACAGAUCGUUCCAAGAAGAUAUUUUGAAAAUAAAUGAUGACAGAAUUGUCAUUUUUGGGUGAAUUAUCACUUUAACCAAUUUAAAUUCGCUAUAGCUUUAACUCAUUUAAAUUCACUCAUUUGUAAAGUUAUUGUACCAUGAAAUAUAAUCACAAUGCAUGUUAACUGAACUUUGUUUAUUCUUUUAAGGUUGGCACUAAUAUAGUGCAGUACUUGAACCACGAGACAAGCCAGAAUCCACAUCUCCUGGUGCUUGGUGACAAGGAAGACUCUUCCCAAGUUUUUAUUAUUUUCAACGGGGAGGCGAUGGAACAGGAGACACUACUACAAGCAGUCGAUCUGUGUUUCAAACUUUUCUUUGUAUAUGACAUCAACUACCCAAAGCCCUCUGCUCCCAUUUGGGAGUUUUUGGAGCACACAGUCUUUAAUAUUCCAGGUGGAGUUCCUUCUGCACACUGCCUCCUCCUUAAAAACUUUGUAUUUAGUAAUCAGUAAACAAAAAUAUUUUUUGUUUUAUUGUUAUGUUUAUAUGUUAUGUUUUUGUGAACUGUAUGUGCACAUUUGUGUGUUUUGAUAUGAAUAUGAAUUGACACACGUGUACAUCUUGAAAAUGUCUGUUUUUACACAUUCGUGUACAGUUAUAUAAAAUAUUUCAAAAUAUAUUUGUUAAUGUAUUAUUUGCAUAUUUAAAUAAAAUCUGUAAUUUACAACA